UAUGCUUGUGAGGAUUCAUAUGCUUCUCCGGUUCGGUGGUUGUGGUGUCUGCUGCAGUGCUUGGAGUCCUCAGGAAGCGCUAGGAGCAUCCUUUAACGGAGGUAUCCAGUCGGGGUGCCAGGUGAUCCGUUACACAUGGUGACCAGGGGUAAUGGGGAAUCAGGUUUCGAUACCGGAGAGGGAGUCUGAGAAACGGCUUCCACAUCCAAGGAAGGCAGCAGGCACGCAAGUUAACUACUCCCAACGCGGGGAGGUAGUGACGACAAAUAACAAUACAGGACUCUUUACAGGCCCCGUAAUUGUAAUGAGUCCACUUGAAAUCCUUUAACUAUGAUCAAUUGGAGGGCAAGUCUGGUGCAGAGCGACUGACCCAUGCGUGCUGCAGCUGAAACUCCACUAUCACCUGCUGCUGCACGCAUA